CAAACGGCUCUUUUAAGGGCCACCCACUCACACACUUUAUUAUUG
rfam:Gasterosteus aculeatus cont1.011516, whole genome shotgun sequence.